UACGUAGGGGGCAAGCGUUGUCCGGAUUUAUUGGGCGUAAAGAGCGUGUAGGCGGUCUGGUAGGUACGUUGUGAAAACUCGAGGCUCAACCUCGAGACGCCGAUGGAAACCCUCAGACUAGAGUCCGGAAGAGGAGAGUGGAAUUCCUGGUGUAGCGGCGAAAUGCGCAGAUAUCAGGAAGAACACCCGUGGCGAAAGCGGCUCUCUGGAACGGUACUGACGCUGAGACGCGAAAGCGUGGGGAGCGAACAGG
rnacentral:rRNA from 1 species